AUUUGGAACCAGAAGUAUGCAAUCAGACAUCAGCACAGACCAAAAAAAAAGAGAGCAAAUACACUACAGCAUUGUGUUAAAAUACAAAGGGAAAAGUUUACAAAAAAGAUUUGACAAGAUGGUGCAAAGAUCGGAUCAAAAGAAGACCCUCAAAAUUUCCCAUUCCCAAAGGGUGACUGAAAUUCAGACCAAGAAAGUGUGCUUUUCUUCCAGUUCUUUUCAGAGAGCAGACUGAAGAGGAGUUUUGAAACUGAAGAGGAGUGAAGAAAUUAAAUGGGACAGACAGCCACGGCAUCAACAACACCUGAAGGACAAGGAAAGUAACACUGAACUGAGGGAGGAGUCCUGGCUGAAAGGAAGCCAGCCAGUAAGAUGCUGAAUCAUGUGAUUUAAAUAUCCGAAACUGUGAAAUUCAAGAUUUUAAAAAUGCUAUGACCAUGAAAUUUACGAAAAUGGACAUGAAUUUGGCAGGGCCAUGCUCAUAACAGUGCAGAUGCCUGCAGAUACUGCAGGAAGUAAGAAGAGUCCUGCAGGGCCCUGUGUGAGCCAGGGGAAGACAGCAGCAGAGGAAAGGCUGCCUGCUCAACCCUCCCAGCCUGAAAGAGGAAGGCUUGACUGGGAGAAGGGCCAGUUGGAGGAGAAGCUGCCUGAGGCUCUAUGGCUGGUCUAAAGUCAACCCCAACUCCAAGGAGGCUUCUGUCUUAAGGAGAAGGACAGAGGGAUUGUAUUAAGUACAACCUAGCUCCAGGAGGUAGACCUGAAGCUCCUGAACAGAGAUGGAAAUUGACCAGGACUCUUCAAUGGACACAGACUGGGUGUGAACUUCAGCAGCUAAAUAAGUGAGUUACCCUCUGUAGAAUGAAUAA